rnacentral:rRNA from 1 species
AGUGAACGCUGGCGGUAGGCCUAACACAUGCAAGUCGAACGGCAGCACAGUAAGAGCUUGCUCUUACGGGUGGCGAGUGGCGGACGGGUGAGGAAUACAUCGGAAUCUACUUUUUCGUGGGGGAUAACGGAGGGAAACUUACGCUAAUACCGCAUACGACCUACGGGUGAAAGCAGGGGAUCUUCGGACCUUGCGCGAUUGAAUGAGCCGAUGUCGGAUUAGCUAGUUGGCGGGGUAAAGGCCCACCAAGGCGACGAUCCGUAGCUGGUCUGAGCGGAUGAUCAGCCACACUGGAACUGAGACACGGUCCAGACUCCUACGGGAGGCAGCAGUGGGGAAUAUUGGACAAUGGGCGCAAGCCUGAUCCAGCCAUACCGCGUGGGUGAAGAAGGCCUUCGGGUUGUAAAGCCCUUUUGUUGGGAAAGAAAAGCAGCAGGUUAAUACCCCGCUGUUCUGACGGUACCCAAAGAAUAAGCACCGGCUAACUUCGUG